rnacentral:rRNA from 1 species
GUAGAACGGGCCAACGAGUUAUGCUGUAAAGCAAGGAUAAUAAAUUAAGUUUAGCAUCCAAAGCGAAAGCGAGUCUUAAUAGGGCGAAAAGUUAUGCAGCAUAGACCCGAAACCGGGCGACCUACCCAUGAGCAGGUUGAAGUUUCAGUAACAUGAAAUGGAGGACCGAACCCACGAACGUUGAAAAGUUCGGGGAUGACUUGUGGGUAGCGGUGAAAUUCCAAUCGAGCUCGGAGAUAGCUGGUUCUCUUCGAAAUAGCUUUAGGGCUAGCGUCUUAAGAAGUGUAUAUCGGGGGUAGAGCACUGAAUGCUCUAGGGGCCGUAUAGGUUACCGAAAGCUAUCAAACUUCGAAUACCGAUAUAUAAAUAAGGCAGUCAGACUACGAGUGAUAAGAUCCGUGGUCAAGAGGGAAAAAGCCCAGAUCAACAGCUAAGGUCCCAAAAUGUAUGUUAAGUGGAAAAGGAUGUGAAAUUGCACAGACAACCAGGAUGUUGGCUUAGAAGCAGCCAUACAUUAAAAGAGUGCGUAAUAGCUCACUGGUCGAGUGGUUUUGCGCCGAAAAUUACCGGGGCUCAAACAUACUACCGAAGCUUUGAACGUGUGAGAUUUUACUAAGAACUUAAGUAAAAUCCAAGAGAAGAUAUAUUAAAAUCUAACCGAUAAAAAAAGAAACAAAUAAGAAACAAAGACAAAUAAACAAAGAAAAAAAUCAUAUAAUAAAGAAGAAUAAAAAGUAAUAUAAAACUAAAGAUUUUAAUUAAAUUUCUCAAAGAAAAAACAUACUAAAUGAAAGCUUAAGAGUUUAGUAAAAUCUCACACGUGGUAGAAGAGCAUCGUAUGAUAGGGAGAAGGAGGAUUGAAAAAGACUCUGGACGAAAUACGAGAGAGAAUGUUGGCAUGAGUAGCGAGAUGUGUGUGAGAAUCACACAGGCCGAAAACCCAAGGUUUUCCAAGGAAGGUUCGUCCGCUUGGAGUAAGUCGGGGCCUAAGGAGAGGCAGAAAUGCGUAUCUGAUGGAUAACAGGUUAAGAUUCCUGUACCUACGCUUAUCGCCAAAGAGGAGAAGGAAUGACGCAGGAGGAUAAGAUCAGCGCACGGUUGGAAGAGUGCGUCCAAGCAGUAAGGCAGGCAUAUAGGCAAAUCCGUAUGCUGGUAAUGUUGAGCUGUGACGGGGAGAGAAGUUAAGUAUCGAAGGAUCUGAUUUCACACUGACAGGAAAAGUUUCUAUCCAGAUAAGAGUAGCCCGUACCAAAACCGACACAGGUGGGUAAGGUGAGAAACCUAAGGCCAGCGAGAGAACUGUUGUUAAGGAACUCGGCAAAAUGACCCCGUAACUUAGGGAUAAGGGGUGCCUUAGAGAUAAGGCUUCAAGAAAAAGGCCCAAGCGACUGUUUACCAAAAACAUAGGUCUCUGCGAAACCGCAAGGUGAAGUAUAGGGGCUGACGCCUGCCCGGUGCUGGAAGGUUAAGAGGAGAUGUCAGGCAACGAAGCAUUGAAUUUCGGGUAAGUUCCGACCCGCACGAAAGGCGUAACGAUUUGGGCACUGUCUCAACAACAGACUCGGUGAAAUUGUAGUACCGGUGAAGAUGCCGGAAACCUGCGACAGGACGGAAAGACCCCAUGGAGCUUUACUGUAGCUUAGUAUUGAAUUUAUGUAAUUAAUGUACAGAAUAGGUGGGAGGCGAAGAGAUUAGGUCGUCAGAUUUAAAGGAGCCGCCUUUGGGAUACCACCCUUUGAUUAUGUGAGUUCUAACCGGAAUCUUUGAAGCAAGGUACGGGACAGUGCUUGGCGGACAGUUUGACUGGGGCGGUCGCCUCCCAAAGAGUAACGGAGGCGUCCAAAGGUUCCCUCAGCAUGGUCGGAAAUCAUGCGAAGAGUGCAAAGGCAAAAGGGAGCUUGAUUGCGAGACCAACAAGUCGAGCAAAGACGAAAGUCGGGCUUAGUGAUCCGGUGGUAGAAAGUGGAAUUGCCAUCGCUCAACGGAUAAAAGCUACCCUGGGGAUAACAGGCUGAUCUCCCCCAAGAGUUCACAUCGACGGGGAGGUUUGGCACCUCGAUGUCGGCUCAUCACAUCCUGGGGCUGGAGUAGGUCCCAAGGGUUGGGCUGUUCGCCCAUUAAAGUGGUACGCGAGCUGGGUUCAGAACGUCGUGAGACAGUUCGGUCCCUAUCCGUCGCAGGCGUUGGAUAUUUGAGAGGAGCUAUCCUUAGUACGAGAGGACCGGGAUGGACGCACCACUGGUGUACCAGUUGUCUUGCCAAAGGCACAGCUGGGUAGCUAUGUGCGGAUAAGAUAAGUGCUGAAGGCAUCUAAGCACGAAGCCAACCUCAAGAUAAGAUAUCCCAUACGCAAGUAGUAAGACCCCAUUAAGAACAAGUGGUAGAUAGGCAAGGAGUGGAAGUGCAGUAAUGUAUGUAGCUGACUUGUACUAAUAGGUCGAGGACUUAACCU